rnacentral:sRNA from 12 species
AAAUGCUUUGUUCACAAGCAGUAAAUAAGUGAACCUCGAACCUAUCUAGGAAUACGAUAUAGCGUUACUUCCGAACGGCAAACCAUGGCACUACGAAGUAAACGUAUGAUAGGCAAGAGUAAAGAAAACGCAUUAAUCAAGCGUAGUAUAAGGUGGCAUGCGAUUAUGCAAACAUCGAGGUCCUGGAAAAACCGAUGUAAAAUAAAUAACAGCACCCGUUUAGCGAGCGUGGUGAUAGGCGUUAUAGGCU